rnacentral:rRNA from 1 species
GACGAACGCUGGCGGCGUGCCUAAUGCAUGCAAGUAGAACGCUGAAGGAGGAGCUUGCUCUUCUGGAUGAGUUGCGAACGGGUGAGUAACGCGUAGGUAACCUGCCUGGUAGCGGGGGAUAACUAUUGGAAACGAUAGCUAAUACCGCAUAACAGUAGAUGUUGCAUGACAUUUACUUAAAAGGUGCAAUUGCAUCACUACCAGAUGGACCUGCGUUGUAUUAGCUAGUUGGUGGGGUAACGGCUCACCAAGGCGACGAUACAUAGCCGACCUGAGAGGGUGAUCGGCCACACUGGGACUGAGACACGGCCCAGACUCCUACGGGAGGCAGCAGUAGGGAAUCUUCGGCAAUGGACGGAAGUCUGACCGAGCAACGCCGCGUGAGUGAAGAAGGUUUUCGGAUCGUAAAGCUCUGUUGUAAGAGAAGAACGAGUGUGAGAGUGGAAAGUUCACACUGUGACGGUAUCUUACCAGAAAGGGACGGCUAACUACGUG